rnacentral:lncRNA from 1 species
AAAGAAUUUUGAAAAAUAAGAAAGAUCCAAUGAAAAGAAUAUAAUUUUUUUGAUUAAAAGAGUUUUAGAAGGUUUGUGCUUAAUCAUAAGGUACUCAAAAUUUACAUUAGAAGUGAGUUUUAGAGUGUUUUAAAAAGUUUAGACAAUUAUUUAAAUAUAAUUUUUGUUGUUAUAGUAUUUAAAAAAAAAUAAUAAACAUUAUUUUAUUAUAUCAUUAUUCUUAUUUUAUUGAUUUUUUAUUAGUUUUUUAAGC